rnacentral:misc_RNA from 1 species
AACGCACAUUGCGCCCUUCGGUAUUCCGUUGGGCAUGCCUGUUCGAGCGUCAUUUAACCCUUCAAGCUAUGCUUGGUGUUGGGCGUUUGUUCCGCCUCCGCGCGUGGACUCGCCUCAAAUUCAUUGGCAGCCGGUAAGUUGGCUUCGUGCGCAGCACAUUGCGUUUACGAUUCUAGCUUGCCUCCUUCCAGGAAAGCUUCUUUUAUUACUUUGACCUCGGAUCAGGUAGGGAUACCCGCUGAACUUAA